ACCGCGAUAGCUCAGCUGGUAGAGCGUAUGCCCGGUAUGUAGUAGGUCGCCGGUUCGAUUCCGGCUCGCGGCG
rnacentral:tRNA from 1 species